rnacentral:rRNA from 1 species
CCUGCUCAAUGAUACAUUUAAAUAGCUGCAAUUGCACUAAGGUAGCAUAAUAAUUUGCUUUCUAAUUAAAAGAUAGAAUGAAUGGGUAAACGAAAUAGAAACUGUUUCUCUCAUUAAAAUAAAACUUAAUAAAAAGGUGAAAACCCCUUUUUAAAAUAAAAAGACAAGAAGACCCUGCUGAGCUUUAAUCUAAAUCUAAUAUAACGAUUUUUGUUGGGGCAACACGAAUUUAAUAAUCCAAUUCUAUAAAAUGAACAAAUUCUUACAAUAUCCAAUUAAAUUGAAUAUUUACAAGUUACCACAGGGAUAACAGGUUUAUUUUUCUAUAGAGCUCUAAUCGACAGAAAAGUUUGACACCUCGAUGUUGGCUUAUAAUUUCAUUUUGGGGCAACCCCCAAAAUUGUAGGUUU